rnacentral:tRNA from 1 species
GUGGCUCAGUGGUAGAGCUCACACCUGACAUGUGUGAGGCUCUGGGUUCAAUUCCCAGC